AUACUUACCUGGCAGGGGAGACACCAUGAUCAAGAAGGUGGUUCACCCAGGGCAAACUUGAUUCCCUUUUCUUAACACCAAUUCUGAAUGCUGUUUUAACAGAGAGUAACACCAGUCUCUGGUCUUAUUUU
rnacentral:snRNA from 1 species